GAUGAACGCUGGCGGCGUGCCUAAUACAUGCAAGUCGAGCGAACGGACGAGAAGCUUGCUUCUCUGAUGUUAGCGGCGGACGGGUGAGUAACACGUGGAUAACCUACCUAUAAGACUGGGAUAACUUCGGGAAACCGUAGCUAAUACCGGAUAUUAUUUUGAACCGCUUGGUUCAAAAGUGAAAGACGGUCUUGCUGUCACUUAUAGAUGGAUCCGCGCUGCAUUAGCUAGUUGGUAAGGUAACGGCUUACCAAGGCAACGAUGCAUAGCCGACCUGAGAGGGUGAUCGGCCACACUGGAACUGAGACACGGUCCAGACUCCUACGGGAGGCAGCAGUAGGGAAUCUUCCGCAAUGGGCGAAAGCCUGACGGAGCAACGCCGCGUGAGUGAUGAAGGUCUUCGGAUCGUAAAACUCUGUUAUUAGGGAAGAACAUAUGUGUAAGUAACUGUGCACAUCUUGACGGUACCUAAUCAGAAAGCCACGGCUAACUACGUG
rnacentral:rRNA from 1 species